CACGUAGGGGGCAAGCGUUGUCCGGAUUUAUUGGGCGUAAAGAGCUCGUAGGCGGUUCGGUAAGUCGGGUGUGAAACCUCCAGGCUCAACCUGGAGACGCCACCCGAUACUGCUGUGACUAGAGUCCGGUAGGGGAGCGUGGAAUUCCUGGUGUAGCGGUGAAAUGCGUAGAUAUCAAGAGGAACACCUGAGGUGAAGACGGGUUGCUGGGCCGACACUGACGCUGAGUGCGCGAAAGCCAGGGGAGCAAACGGG
rnacentral:rRNA from 1 species